UGAAAAUAAAAAAAAAAAGAUGUUGGUAUUUAGUAGAUAAAAAUUUAAUUUUGUUAUAUUAAUUAUUAAACAAUAGAAUUGAUCCAUGCGAUAAAAUUUUACAACUGAUGUAGGCAAAUAAUAAAAAGAGAGAGUGAGAGAGAGAAAAAAUAAAAAGAGAAAGUAAGAGAGAGUGUGUGUGUGUGAGAGAGAGGAAAAAAAAAAAGAAAAGAAAGUAAAAG
rnacentral:lncRNA from 1 species